GGGCGACGGAGCUACCUGCAGUCGAGCGGUAGCACAGAGAGCUUGCUCUCGGGUGACGAGCGGCGGACGGGUGAGUAAUGUCUGGGAAACUGCCUGAUGGAGGGGGAUAACUACUGGAAACGGUAGCUAAUACCGCAUAAUGUCGCAAGACCAAAGUGGGGGACCUUCGGGCCUCAUGCCAUCAGAUGUGCCCAGAUGGGAUUAGCUAGUAGGUGGGGUAACGGCUCACCUAGGCGACGAUCCCUAGCUGGUCUGAGAGGAUGACCAGCCACACUGGAACUGAGACACGGUCCAGACUCCUACGGGAGGCAGCAGUGGGGAAUAUUGCACAAUGGGCGCAAGCCUGAUGCAGCCAUGCCGCGUGUGUGAAGAAGGCCUUCGGGUUGUAAAGCACUUUCAGCGGGGAGGAAGGCGUUAAGGUUAAUAACCUUGGCGAUUGACGUUACCCGCAGAAGAAGCACCGGCUAACUCCGUGCCAGCAGCCGCGGUAAUACGGAGGGUGCAAGCGUUAAUCGGAAUUACUGGGCGUAAAGCGCACGCAGGCGGUCUGUCAAGUCGGAUGUGAAAUCCCCGGGCUCAACCUGGGAACUGCAUUCGAAACUGGCAGGCUAGAGUCUUGUAGAGGGGGGUAGAAUUCCAGGUGUAGCGGUGAAAUGCGUAGAGAUCUGGAGGAAUACCGGUGGCGAAGGCGGCCCCCUGGACAAAGACUGACGCUCAGGUGCGAAAGCGUGGGGAGCAAACAGGAUUAGAUACCCUGGUAGUCCACGCCGUAAACGAUGUCGAUUUGGAGGUUGUGCCCUUGAGGCGUGGCUUCCGGAGCUAACGCGUUAAAUCGACCGCCUGGGGAGUACGGCCGCAAGGUUAAAACUCAAAUGAAUUGACGGGGGCCCGCACAAGCGGUGGAGCAUGUGGUUUAAUUCGAUGCAACGCGAAGAACCUUACCUGGUCUUGACAUCCACAGAACUUACCAGAGAUGGAUUGGUGCCUUCGGGAACUGUGAGACAGGUGCUGCAUGGCUGUCGUCAGCUCGUGUUGUGAAAUGUUGGGUUAAGUCCCGCAACGAGCGCAACCCUUAUCCUUUGUUGCCAGCGGUUCGGCCGGGAACUCAAAGGAGACUGCCAGUGAUAAACUGGAGGAAGGUGGGGAUGACGUCAAGUCAUCAUGGCCCUUACGACCAGGGCUACACACGUGCUACAAUGGCAUAUACAAAGAGAAGCGACCUCGCGAGAGCAAGCGGACCUCAUAAAGUAUGUCGUAGUCCGGAUUGGAGUCUGCAACUCGACUCCAUGAAGUCGGAAUCGCUAGUAAUCGUAGAUCAGAAUGCUACGGUGAAUACGUUCCCGGGCCUUGUACACACCGCCCGUCACACCAUGGGAGUGGGUUGCAAAAGAAGUAGGUAGCUUAACCUUCGGGAGGGCGCUUACCACUUUUGAUUCAUGUCGGGGGAAGUGAUCAAGAUCAGCCAAAAAA
rnacentral:rRNA from 1 species